rnacentral:lncRNA from 1 species
AAUUAUAUUAGGUAUCUAUGUAUCUAUCUUCCCAAGAACAAACACUUCACAUCUCCAUCUUCUAUCUCAUAACAUACAUAAACAUAGAAUAUAUUCUUCAAUUCUCGGAUGAACAUUACAUUAUUAUAAUUAUAAUCUAGCAUUGUUGCAUGGCUAGUGGUGCACCAUUUUCUUCUUUUGUGACACUUUUCUUCUUUUCGUUGCUCUUAGCUUUUCACUUUUCUAUGGCUAUUCCAAUAAAACACACCUUCUUCACUCCUUUAACUUCAAGCAAGAGGAACACUUUGAAUACCAUGGUAGUAGCUUCACCUUCACCUUCAAGAGAAGCCACUAAGAAGAACAAUAAUGUUCUUGAUGAUCCACUUAGAAGAGCUUCACGACCUCCAUCAUUUCAAUGGCGAAAUAAGAUCUUCAACGUAAGUGAACAUGAAGUUCCUAGUGGUCCAAACCCUAUCUCAAACAGGUAAAUAUAAAUUUAAAUUAGAAAAAAAUAAUAAUGUUCUAGCUAAGAGAGGUUUAAUUUAUGGUGGUUUUCACUUUUCAGGGUUUUCUUUUAAGCUUUAUGCCUUCUUCCUUUUUUAUAUUAUUUUAUUUUCCAAUUUUUGUUGGUCCAUAAUAUAUUAUUAUUCUUUAGUUUCCAUUUGCAAAAUUAUUAAAGAGAAUUGGGUUUGGAUCGGAGAUUCUAGGGAUUUUUUCAGAAUAGCAUGCAGCAGCAGAUUGGUGUGAGUAAUGAUGAAGUUCUCUUCAUAUGAUUGUGUAAAAACUGAACCGCACG